UACGUAGGGCGCAAGCGUUUGUCCGGAAUUAUUGGGCGUAAAGAGCUCGUAGGCGGCUUGUCGCGUCGGAUGUGAAAGCCCGGGGCUUAACUCCGGGUCUGCAUUCGAUACGGGCAGGCUAGAGUGUGGUAGGGGAGAUCGGAAUUCCUGGUGUAGCGGUGAAAUGCGCAGAUAUCAGGAAGAACACCCGUGGCGAAGGCGGGUCUCUGGGCCGAAACUGACGCUGAGGAGCGAAAGCGUGGGGAGCAAACAGG
rnacentral:rRNA from 1 species